rnacentral:misc_RNA from 1 species
GAACGCACAUUGCGCCCCCUGGUAUUCCGGGGGGCAUGCCUGUUCGAGCGUCAUUACAACCCUCAAGCUCUGCUUGGUAUUGGGCCCCGCCAGUUCUGGCGGGCCCUAAAGUCAGUGGCGGUGCCAUCCGGCUCCGAGCGUAGUAAUUCUUCUCGCUCUGGAGACCCGGUUGUGUGCUUGCCAGCAACCCCCAAUUUUUUAAGGUUGACCUCGGAUCAGGUAGGGAUACCCGCUGAACUUAAG